rnacentral:rRNA from 1 species
UACGUAGGGCGCAAGCGUUGUCCGGAAUUAUUGGGCGUAAAGAGCUCGUAGGCGGUUUGUCGCGUCUGCUGUGAAAACCUAAGGCUCAACCUUGGGCUUGCAGUGGGUACGGGCAGACUAGAGUGCGGUAGGGGUGACUGGAAUUCCUGGUGUAGCGGUGGAAUGCGCAGAUAUCAGGAGGAACACCAAUGGGCGAAGGCAGAUCUCUGGGCCGUAACUGACGCUGGAGGAGCGAAAGCCAUGGGGAGCGAACAGG